rnacentral:rRNA from 1 species
AGAGUUUGAUCCUGGCUCAGGAUGAACGCUGGCGGUCUGCUUAACACAUGCAAGUCGAACGGAGUAGAAAUACUUAGUGGCGGACGGGUGAGUAACGCGUGAGAAUCUGCCUUCAGGACGGAGACAACAGUUGGAAACGACUGCUAAGCCCCGAUGAACCGAAAGGGAAAAUAUUUAUAGCCUGAGGAUGAGCUCGCGUCCGAUUAGCUAGUUGGGGGGGUAAAGGCCCACCAAGGCGACGAUCGGUAGCUGGUCUGAGAGGACGAUCAGCCACACUGGGACUGAGACACGGCCCAGGCUCCUACGGGAGGCAGCAGUGGGGAAUUUUCCGCAAUGGGCGAAAGCCUGACGGAGCAAGACCGCGUGGGGGAAGAAGGCUCUUGGGUUGUAAACCCCUUUUCUCUGGGAAGAAAGUUGUGAAAGCAACCUGACGGUACCAGAGGAAUCAGCAUCGGCUAACUCCGUGCCAGCAGCCGCGGUAAGACGGAGGAUGCAAGCGUUAUCCGGAAUGAUUGGGCGUAAAGCGUCCGCAGGUGGCAGUUCAAGUCUGCUGUCAAAGACCGGGGCUUAACUUCGGAAAGGCAGUGGAAACUGAACAGCUAGAGUAUGGUAGGGGCAGAGGGAAUUCCUGGUGUAGCGGUGAAAUGCGUAGAGAUCAGGAAGAACAUCGGUGGCGAAGGNNCUCUGCUGGACCAUAACUGACACUCAGGGACGAAAGCUAGGGGAGCGAAUGGGAUUAGAUACCCUAGUAGUCC